rnacentral:rRNA from 1 species
AGCGGCGGAUGGGUGAGUAACACGUGGGGAACCCGCCCCUAAGUCUGGGAUACCAUUUGGAAACAGGUGCUAAUACCGGAUAAUAAAGCAGAUCGCAUGAUCAGCUUUUGAAAGGCGGCGUAAGCUGUCGCUAAGGGAUGGCCCCGCGGUGCAUUAGCUAGUUGGUAAGGUAACGGCUUACCAAGGCGAUGAUGCAUAGCCGAGUUGAGAGACUGAUCGGCCACAAUGGAACUGAGACACGGUCCAUACUCCUACGGGAGGCAGCAGUAGGGAAUCUUCCACAAUGGGCGCAAGCCUGAUGGAGUAACACCGCGUGAGUGAAGAAGGGUUUCGGCUCGUAAAGCUCUGUUGUUGGAGAAGAACGUGCGUGAGAGUAACUGUUCACGCAGUGACGGUAUCCAACCAGAAAGUCACGGCUAACUACGUGCCAGCAGCCGCGGUAAUACGUAGGUGGCAAGCGUUAUCCGGAUUUAUUGGGCGUAAAGCGAGCGCAGGCGGUUGCUUAGGUCUGAUGUGAAAACCUUCGGCUUAACCGAAGAAGUGCAUCGGAAACCGGGCGACUUGAGUGCAGAAGAGGACAGUGGAACUCCAUGUGUAGCGGUGGAAUGCGUAGAUAUAUGGAAGAACACCAGUGGCGAAGGCGGCUGUCUGGUCUGCAACUGACGCUGAGGCUCGAAAGCAUGGGUAGCGAACAGGAUUAGAUACCCUGGUAGUCCAUGCCGUAAACGAUGAAUGCUAGGUGU